GAAUAUUGGACAAUGGGCGAAAGCCUGAUCCAGCCAUGCCGCGUGUGUGAAGAAGGUCUUCGGAUUGUAAAGCACUUUAAGUGGGGAGGAAGGGCAGUAAGCGAAUACCCUGCUGUUUUGACGUUACCGACAGAAUCAGCACCGGCUAACUCGGUGCCAGCCGCCGCGGUAAUACAGAGGGUGCAAGCGGUAAGCGGAAUUACUGGGCGUAAAGCGGGCGUAGGUGGUUCGUUAAGUUGGAUGUGAAAUCCCCGGGCUCAACCUGGGAACUGCGUCCAAAACUGGCGAGCUAGAGUAGGGCAGAGGGUGGUGGAAUUUCAUGUGUAGCGGUGAAAUGCGUAGAUAUAGGAAGGAACACCAGUGGCGAAGGCGACCACCUGGGCUCAUACUGACACUGAGGUGCGAAAGCGUGGGGAGCAAACAGG
rnacentral:rRNA from 1 species